UUGCUUUGGCAGCACACAUAUUAAAACUGGAAUGAUAUAAGGAAGAUUAUUUGCAAGACUAUUGUGCAAAGAUGACAUGCAAAUGUAUGAAUUAUUCCAUAUUUUU